rnacentral:rRNA from 1 species
UACGUAGGGUGCAAGCGUUGUCCGGAAUUAUUGGGCGUAAAAGAGCUCGUAGGCGGCCGGUUGCGUCUGCUGUGAAAUCCCGGGGCCUUAACCCCGGGCGUGCAGUGGAUACGGGCCGGCUGGAGGCAGGCAGGGGAGAAUGGAAUUCCCGGUGUAGCGGUGAAAUGCGCAGAUAUCGGGAGGAACACCGGUGGCGAAGGCGGUUCUCUGGGCCUGUACUGACGCUGAGGAGCGAAAGCGUGGGGAGCGAACAGG